GAUGAACGCUAGCGGGAGGCCUAACACAUGCAAGCCGAGCGGUAUUUGUUCUUCGGAACAGAGAGAGCGGCGCACGGGUGCGGAACACGUGUGCAACCUGCCUUUAUCUGGGGGAUAGCCUUUUGAAAGGAAGAUUAAUACCCCAUAAUAUAUUGAGUGGCAUCAUUUGAUAUUGAAAACUCCGGUGGAUAGAGAUGGGCACGCGCAAGAUUAGAUAGUUGGUGAGGUAACGGCUCACCAAGUCAAUGAUCUUUAGGGGGCCUGAGAGGGUGAUCCCCCACACUGGUACUGCGACACGGACCAGACUCCUACGGGAGGCAGCAGUGAGGAAUAUUGGACAAUGGGUUAGCGCCUGAUCCAGCCAUCCCGCGUGAAGGACGACGGCCCUAUGGGUUGUAAACUUCUUUUGUAUAGGGAUAAACCUACUCUCGUGAGAGUAGCUGAAGGUACUAUACGAAUAAGCACCGGCUAACUCCGUG
rnacentral:rRNA from 1 species